rnacentral:tRNA from 1 species
GGAAGAUGGCUCAGGGGUAAAGCACCUGCCUAGCGUGCAUGAGGCCCUGGGUUCAAUCCCCAUCACCA